rnacentral:rRNA from 1 species
AACGAACGCUGGCGGCAUGCCUAACACAUGCAGGUCGAACGAGACCUUCGGGUCUAGUGGCGCACGGGUGCGUAACGCGUGGGAAUCUGCCCUUAGGUUCGGAAUAACAGUUAGAAAUGACUGCUAAUACCGGAUAAUGACUUCGGUCCAAAGAUUUAUCGCCUAAGGAUGAGCCCGCGUAGGAUUAGCUAGUUGGUGAGGUAAAGGCUCACCAAGGCUACGAUCCUUAGCUGGUCUGAGAGGAUGAUCAGCCACACUGGGACUGAGACACGGCCCAGACUCCUACGGGAGGCAGCAGUGGGGAAUAUUGGACAAUGGGCGAAAGCCUGAUCCAGCAAUGCCGCGUGAGUGAUGAAGGCCUUAGGGUUGUAAAGCUCUUUUACCCGGGAUGAUAAUGACAGUACCGGGAGAAUAAGCUCCGGCUAACUCCGUGCCAGCCGCCGCAGU